AGCGAACGCUGGCGGCAGGCCUAACACAUGCAAGUCGAACGGAUCCUUCGGGAUUAGUGGCGGACGGGUGAGUAACACGUGGGAACGUGCCCUUUGGUUCGGAACAACUCAGGGAAACUUGAGCUAAUACCGGAUGUGCCCUUCGGGGGAAAGAUUUAUCGCCAUUGGAGCGGCCCGCGUCUGAUUAGCUAGUUGGUGGGGUAAAGGCCCACCAAGGCGACGAUCAGUAGCUGGUCUGAGAGGAUGAUCAGCCACAUUGGGACUGAGACACGGCCAAAACUCCUACGGGAGGCAGCAGUGGGGAAUCUUGCGCAAUGGGCGAAAGCCUGACGCAGCCAUGCCGCGUGAAUGAUGAAGGUCUUAGGAUUGUAAAAUUCUUUCACCGGGGACGAUAAUGACGGUACCCGGAGAAGAAGCCCCGGCUAACUUCGUGCCAGCCGCCGCCGUAAAAC
rnacentral:rRNA from 1 species